UUCCGGUGACUUGAAGCCUAGUGUCAAGAACAGCAUGUCUGGCUGCAGACUGUUCUCGCGUGGAGCGGCGGCUGUGGCUGCAGCGGCGGCGGCGGCGGCGGCGGCGACUGCGGCGCGAGCUUCCCGGGUGCUAGGGGUCUUCACGACGACGCACCGCCCGCUGCACACCAGUCCGCAGAGCUGCUCUUUCGCCAAGGAGCUCUUCCUGGGCAACAUCGAGCGGAAAGGAGUUUUCCCGUUUCCAGAGGUUAGUCAGGAUGAACUUAGUGAAAUCAAUCAGUUUGUGGGACCAUUGGAAAAAUUCUUUACUGAAGAAGUGGACUCUCGGAAAAUUGACCAGGAGGGAAAAAUUCCAGUUGACACCUUAGAGAAAUUGAAGAGCCUGGGACUUUUUGGGAUACAGGUCCCAGAAGAAUAUGGUGGCCUGGGCCUCUCCAACACCAUGUAUGCUCGGCUUGGGGAGAUCAUCAGCAUGGAUGGGUCUAUCACAGUGACCCUGGCAGCACACCAGGCUAUUGGCCUCAAGGGAAUUAUCUUAUUCGGCAAUGAGGAACAGAAGGCCAAGUAUUUGCCUAAACUGGCAUCUGGAGAACACAUCGCAGCCUUCUGCCUAACAGAGCCAGCCAGUGGGAGUGAUGCUGCCUCCAUCCAGACCAGAGCUACAUUGAGUGAAGAUAAGAAGUAUUUUGUCCUCAAUGGCUCCAAGGUUUGGAUCACCAACGGAGGACUGGCCAGUGUUUUUACUGUGUUUGCAAAAACCGAGGUGGUUGAUUCUGACGGUUCAGUAAAAGACAAAAUCACUGCAUUCAUAGUAGAAAGAGACUUUGGCGGAAUCACUAAUGGGAAACCUGAAGAUAAACUGGGCAUUCGAGGCUCCAACACAUGUGAAGUCCAUUUUGAAAAUACCAGAGUGCCUGUGGAAAAUGUUCUUGGAGAAGUUGGAGGUGGCUUUAAGGUAGCCAUGAACAUCCUCAACAGUGGGCGAUUCAGCAUGGGCAGUGUUGUGGCUGGGAUGCUCAAGAAACUGAUUGAACUGACUGCUGAGUAUGCCUGCACGAGGAAGCAGUUCAGUAGGAAUCUCAGUGAAUUUGGUUUGAUUCAGGAAAAGUUUGCGCUAAUGGCUCAGAAGGCUUAUGUAAUGGAGAGCAUGGCCUACCUCACUGCGGGGAUGCUAGACCAACCGGGAUAUCCCGACUGCUCUAUUGAGGCGGCCAUGGUGAAGGUGUUCAGCUCUGAGGCUGCCUGGCAGUGUGUGAGCGAGGCUCUGCAGAUCCUUGGGGGCUCAGGCUACAUGAAGGACUACCCCUAUGAGCGUAUACUGCGUGAUAGCCGCAUCCUCCUCAUCUUUGAGGGAACCAAUGAGAUUCUUCGGUUGUUCAUUGCCCUGACAGGCCUGCAGCAUGCCGGACGCAUCCUGACCUCAAGGAUCAAAGAGCUUAAAAGAGGCAAUGUGACCACAGUCAUGGAAACAAUUGGUCGGAAGCUUCGGGACUCGCUGGGCCGAACUGUGGACAUGGGACUGACAGGCAGACUUGGCCUUGUACACCCCAGUCUUGGAGACAGUGCCAACAAGCUUGAGGAAAAUGUGUAUUACUUUGGUCGGACCGUUGAGACCCUGUUACUCCGUUUUGGAAAGACCAUUGUAGAGGAACAGCUGGUGUUGAAGCGGGUAGCCAACAUCCUCAUCAACCUGUAUGGCAUGACAGCCGUGUUGUCACGGGCCAGCCGCUCCAUCCGAACUGGGCUUCGGAAUCAUGAUCAUGAGGUUCUGUUGGCCAACAUGUUCUGUGUGGAAGCUUAUUUCCAGAAUCUCUUCAGCCUGUCUCAGCUGGACAAGUGUGAGUGAGAUGCCUACGGGAAAGCAAGCACCCAGGGCCAGCCAUCAUCCAUAGCUGUCGGUGCCUUACUUCCUCCCAAAACUUGCUGCCAGAUGCUCCAGAAAACAUGGAUGAGCAGAUUAAGAAAGUGUCUAAGCAGAUCCUUGAGAAGCGAGCCUACAUCUGUGCCCACCCUCUGGACAGGACAUCGUGAGGCUGGGACAGUGCCCCUGUACCUACCACCUAGCCCAGGUUAACAUAAUUCAGCAUCUUGAGAAGACUGAAACAUUGGAGUCGUCUGUGUAGACUGUAUGCCAUUUGUAUACACUAAAGCAAUAGUAUAAACAACUAUUGCUCUGCUGAAAGAUCAGUAGUUAGGUUUUGAUCUGUAGGCCCUGCAUCUGAAGAGAUCCCAUCAAGGCAAGGAAGAAAGGAUGGACGGACAGACGGAAGGGAGGGAGGACCAAAUUGUUGAAGAAAGAAAGGAGGGGAGAGAGAGAGAGAGAGAGAGAGAGAGAGAGAGAGAGAGAGAA